AGUAAUGGCAAAACAACGUUUUCACGUCCACAUGUUUCCCGUGAAGAUGUAAAGAAAACACAGUUACAAAAUAUCCACUAUAAUCUACAAACUAAGUCAUUUCCCUUGUUUGCAAAUAUAUUCGGUGCCUACAAUAUACUAUAGUGGCACAUUAAUCACUAUCCAACUUUUUUCCCCUCGACCAAGUAUGUAGGCCCUCUUAUCACCAUUUCCUUUUUGGUUGUUCAAUUUAUGCGGUAUGUUGUUCUGCACUAUCUCCGCGUUGACGACCUUAUCCCACGAUCUUCUGGAUUUUGAUUUGGGGGCAUAAGUUACAGACGUCAAUUGACUCUUGGUCUGCGAGGCUGACUAACCACCACAACAUCCCGUCUACCACUCUCUCCCUGCAAGUUAUAGACAACCAAAGCAACUAAAGAACUAUGUCUUCCACUCUAUAAAGAAAUAGUUUGUUAUUGUGCAUAAAAGAUCAAUCAAAAAGAUAUUGCGUACUGCAAUAGAACGUACCACUUUUCCCACAUGAUUCUCCUUAAUUUUCGACUUGCCCCUUAUUCCAUCCCGCGCUUUUUCAAGGGAGACAUAUAGCCUCUUGCACUAGUCUCAUGUAGUUCUGCAGCUUUCUUCCCAGAGCUGCCAAAAUGCUCUCCAGGAGUCAUAAAUUCAUCAUCCUCUUCGAGAGACUCCCUCCUCGACAACUCAUCUGCGUCCAUCCUUUCACUACGGAUAUCCAAUCUAGGCCAUGGUGCCGACAACUUACCUGCAUUAUCAGCAAUCACUUUUCCACGUACCUUUUUCCUAAGCAAUGUACCACCUCGAAUAACUUUCACAGACUCACAAGUACACCCCUCAUCGUCAAUAGUUAUAAAAAUACCAAAUACCCAAUCACCCAAAACUAACAGGACAUGUAGAAUCAACAAAAAUACCAAAUACCCAAUUUAUAAAAACACGCCCUGCAUAUUAUCCACAAAAAGAAAAAUGCAAAAUCUCAAAAUCCAAAAUUAAUAAACAAUGUUUGCGAUGUCCUUCAACCAAAGAUCAAAUGGACUACAAUGACAAAUAUGAUUGCUUUUCAAAGACUAGAGUAGCAGACAUGACCAAUUAACACCCCAAAAAAUUGCAGGAUAACCCAUAGCACACGACCGCCGAGGGUCGCAAAUUCCAGUCAACAAUAACUCAC
rnacentral:lncRNA from 1 species